GGGCUAUAUACUCUAACUGCAUUGCUUUUUCUUGUGCAAAACAAACAUUUUGCUUUUUCCAGGGAUAAGAGCCUACUCUGGUGGCUGUGAAAGGCCCCAGUAGACCCCAGUCCCCGGAGGAAGGCAAGGUAGGCCAAGGAACAGGGGAGAUGGUCCCACCAAGGCACAGAGGGAUGGACUGACCAUGGGGAAAAAACACAGGGAUGAGGAAAGGGGAGCAGAGACUUGGGACAGUGACCUGUGUAUGAUUUUUAAGUUCUUCUGCAUUAAAGAAAAAAAAUGAGGUUCCUCUUGGCUCCUUGCCUGCUGUGGGAUUCGUAAGAGCCAGGUCUGAGCUUUGGCUGCCAGGCUGGGACAUCCUGAACCCCGUUGCUGCUGCCAUUUCUGUGGGGCUACGGGACUGAGAGCGACCACAGAGCCACCGGGGGGCCACGUGCCCUGCGCAGGACAGCUGUGCUGGAAGGCAGAGCACUCACCAGGAGCCGCCCCUGCUGCAGGCACCCCCAGAGACACGGCAUGUACGGGCUGAUGAAGAAGCCGUCAAUCUUGAUAUGGGAAGAAGAGGAGCCAGACACAUGCAGGUCACCCGGGAGAAAAACCUCUUACACAUGGAAAAGGGUUUUCAAGAGCCCAGCAAAGAGAGUGAUGACAAAAAGCUGGAAAAGCAGGCAGACAAGCCCUCCUUCAUGAAACAGGAAAGCAAGAGGGCAUCUUCUCCUUUUCCAGGUGAUAUGCGCCCUCUGUGUCGCUGUCCUCUUCUGCCCACUGAACUGUGCCCUGACUUCCCUGAAGAAGAGAGCUCUGCAGCUCCUUGUGCCCCUGAAGCCCAAAAACUGAGAGGUGGUCGCAAACAGUUUGGUUAUUUGUGGAAGUAUUUUUCCAGGAACCGAAGCUAAGCUGACAGGUCUGUAACUGCCAACCUGCCAUUUAGCACCACUUCUGUACCAACGAGCUCGAGCCCGCACCUCGUAGCACCGGGCUCUGCUCCAACAGACCACUUUAGCACGCACUUAAUUGCAAGAGAGAGAGACGUCUGUGGCUGCAGGGGGGAGGAGUCGCACGGCUAACGUUACACGUGUGCUUGGAUAUUCCUCCAGCUCCUAACCAUAGGCACACCAAGGAAGCCCCCCCAAACCAAGCCGAACAAAGACAAUACACGUCUUCAUACAGUGCUUAUGACUUUAUGAGUGCAAAUACCAAUAAAUAUCAAACAU
rnacentral:lncRNA from 1 species